GGGCGCAGCCUGACCGAGCGACGCCGCGUGUGCGAUGAAGGCCUUCGGGUUGUAAAGCACUGUCGAGGGGGAGAAAAGCCCGCAAGGGCGUGAUCGACCUCUGGAGGAAGCACGGGCUAAGUUCGUGCCAGCAGCCGCGGUAAGACGAACCGUGCAAACGUUGUUCGGAAUCACUGGGCUUAAAGGGCGCGUAGGCGGGCAGGCAAGUCGAAGGUGAAAUCCCACGGCUCAACCGUGGAAGUGCCCCCGAUACUGCCUGUCUCGAGGGAGAUAGGGGCGUGCGGAACUUCCGGUGGAGCGGUGAAAUGCGUAGAUAUCGGAAGGAACACCGGUGGCGAAAGCGGCGCGCUGGAUCUCUUCUGACGCUGAGGCGCGAAAGCCAGGGGAGCAAACGGGAUUAGAUACCCCGGUAGUCCUGGCCCUAAACGAUGGGUACUAGGUAGUGGACUUACAUGGGUUCACUGCCGAAGCAAAAGUGAUAAGUACCCCGCCUGGGGAGUAUGGUCGCAAGGCUGAAACUCAAAGGAAUUGACGGGGGCUC
rnacentral:rRNA from 1 species